GAGAAAUACAUAGAUGCUGCUUCAGAAUUGAUUGUGUAUACAAUACUUUUCUGCCUUAGAGGAAGUCAUUCCUGAGUAUGUGACACUUAAAGAGAUGCCUGCCAUGCUUGUUUUCAAAGAUGAAACUUACUUUGUUUAUGAUGAGUUUGAAGAUGGUGAUCUGUCAGCAUGGAUCAGUAGGGAAAGGUUUCAGAAUUAUCUUACUAUGGAUGGCUUCCUCUUAUAUGAACUUGGAGACACAGGAUGAAGACUCCCUUGCUGCUAAAUGCUGAGCCAGGUGUCAACAAGAAGGGUACAGCACACUCUUAUGUCACCAAGGUGGACCAGUCUCCUGCUUGGUGCUUCAGGACUUUACUGUGACCUGGGAAGAAGAUGCUGCUUUGUGUCCACCUCACUGGCAAACCAGCCACUUCAGCCCAAAGUCUUAUUUCCACAAAAUAUCAGUUUAGGCAGAGAUGUGAAAAAGCAUGGGAACUAUGUGGCUAUUAGCUGUUGUGACAAUGGAGAGGCCUUAUUUUAUAGGUUAAGUGCUUGGAUCAGGAGUCAGACACCCUGGCUCAUAAUUUAGAUUUUACAAUUCUAGCUCUAUAAGUGAUACAUGAGGAUUUGUGUGCAGAGCUGAGUCAUCCUGUCCAUCCCAAAUCCAGUCUCACUCAGCCUACAGACAGGCCAAACUAUGUCCAACAAUAUCAGUAGAGUCAACUAAUCAGAAAUUUGACUGAAAAUGCUCAUAACACUAGAGAUAUUGUAGAUGUUUCCUACUAGAUAUUAUUAUUAUAGUAACAGAUAUGAAUACAACAGAACUGAAAGACUUUAACGAAGAGCUUUUAUUUCUAUGAAUAACAUCAAUGACAUAUUUCCUUUUGCAUUUCUCUCUGCAUAUUAUGUAUUAGUAGAGCUGCUAAAGAAAGUCAAUGCUCAAAAUUUUGGAAUUGAAUAUCUUAGAAAGUGAUUAUUUUGCUUUGUAUCUAGAUGCAUUUCCCCCCCAAGGCCUUAUGCACGGAUAGAUGGGACUUUUAGAAGCUGGCUGCAUCCAGGGUAUGUGAUACUGGAAUUAAGAGUGUUUGGUUCUAAAGUAGUUCACUGAGUGUUUUAACAUAGUUCUGGGUAUGGAUAAUACAAAGGCACAACCUGGGUGCAUGCAACACCAACCAAAAAGCUUGUAUCCUGGAUGGGAUAAAAGAGAAAGGGAGGUUUGCUUCUCCUGCUGCUGCUCACUGUCUCCUGCCUACCUCAGCUGGCUAUGACCUGAAAUCUCUACAAACUGAACUGAGAAAAACCUUUCAUCUUUUAAUUUGUGGAUGUUAGAUAUUUUCUCACAUCAACAAGAAAGUAGUCAAGACAGAUUUUGGUUCCAGAAAAGUGAGAUCUUUGCUGUGACACUACCUGGCUGUGUGGUUCAGAAGCCUUUGGAACUGACUUUCAGGAGGAGUACAGAAAGGUUUAGAGAUUGCUGGCUGAAGAAGCAGCCAUAGAAUUCUGUGAGCCAGUCUUGAUGGGAGAUUCUGGUCUAUGCUUAGAAGACCAGAAUGUUGACUGCAUGCAGCUAGAUAUAUAAAGACCAGGCUCUAGCAGUUUCAUUUGGGAAGGACUCCCUUGCAACUGGAGUCCAGAUCAUGUGUGUUAGGUUUCUGCUAAAAAUUUGUCUUCAUUUUGCUCUUGCCCAGAGACUUUGCCUGAGACUGAUAUUAAGUGGGGCAGACUAAUGAAUCUGCCAAAAAAAAAAAAAAAAAGAAAAAAAAUUCAAAACAAUCUAAUAUGGAGGCAUGUCUACUGUUGGAGAGUUUUAGUCAUAUCUAUGCUGACAAUCAAGAACAAAGGUCUCAGUAGAAUGAUUUUAAAAGUUCUGCAUUUGGCCAGAAAGGAAACUUCAGAAAACUGCUAAGAUGUAGCAGAGAAGAACUUUGUUUUGAAAUGCUUGACAUUUAAAAGCCAAGUACUUUGGGACUCAACAGUAGAAAAGAUGGCCUAAGGAUAUCACAAGAACCAGUAGGACUCCACCCUUUGCAGUCUGAAAAUUGUAAAGGUCAAAGACUGUUUUAGAAGAGAACCCCAAAACAUCGUGUUCUAGAAUGGCAGCAGACCAUGGCAUCAUGUAUAGUGCUGGUUUGAAAAGGUGAAAGAUUUAUAUGAUCUGAAGAGAAAUCAGAGUACGUGGUGCUGGUUUUAGGUGAAUGCAGAAUGCAAGAGUUGUAGUGAGGAAGGUUUCCGCCCAAGUUUCAGAAGAUGGCCUAAGAGGCCAAGCAGUGUACCACUGAGAGGGCAGUGUGUGAAGCUGUGAGUGUGAAACUGAAGGUUCAGUGGGGACUCCAGAAGAUUGGAGAGGCAGGGAUGUGGAACCUCUGAGAACCACAAGUAGUGAGCAAGGCUGGCUCAAGACAGAAGACAUGUGAGUUACAACCACCAGUAGUACCAUAGGCCAUAAGUCUUUUGAAGUUCACAUCUUGGCACAGAUUGCACUGGAUGCUAGACAAGGAACUACAGGAUAUCAUGUUUGCCCUACUGGAUUUUGGGCUCCCUUUUGUUAUGUCCAGUGGGUCUGGGAUCUAGGAUCUCCAGACUCACCUUUGCAAGGCCUGUCUCUGUCUGUGGCAUAGAAAGAGAAAGAGGAGCCAGAGAAGUCCAGGGAAAAGUGAAAGUACUUUUAUCGUAGGGAGUGGUACAAAGCCAUUCUGGUGAAGGAGAAGGGGUGGUCAGAGUUGAGUCACCACCAAAUCUGGGGCUGGGGUCCUAUUUUAUGGGGUAGAAGUCCUGUCUCCACUAUCCUGAGGAUUGACACUUGAUUGGAUACUGGGCUUGUUGCUAGGAGUUUGAUCUUGUGGGCUAACAGGGGAAUUUGUGUAGGUGUGGAAGCUGCACUGGGAAGGAGAGUUUUGCCUGCACAGAGGCAGGUGUCAAAAUGACAAGCUGUCAGAUUCAAACCACAAACCUGCUUGAAAACUGCUUGCUACUCAUAGCCACAUAGCACCUGCAUUUUCCACCUUUUGUUUAAAAAGGGCAUGUGUGUGUCCUUGCAUUUUGCUCUCUCUCUCUCUCCAUGGACUGAACUUGGGUCCUUGCACUUGCAAGGCAGGUGGCAGAACCACUAAGCUAAAUCACCAGCCCUAGUCUCACUUUUUUCUAUUCCCCUGUUUAGCUCUCACAUUUUUAUUUUUUAUUUUUAGUACUGGGGAUCAAAUUCAGGACCUUGCACUUAUGUGGCAGUCAAAGCCCCACUUAGCUAAAUUCCUGGCCUACUCUAUCCCCCUAUUUAGAAUGGGAGUGUUUAUCUUGUACCAUUGUAUAUUGAAAGUGUUUACUUUUCUUUUCAUUUGUAGAGGGGCUUCUAGGUAAGAAUUUGCCUUAAAUCUGAGAGGAGACUUUGAACUUGGACUUUUCAGCAAUACUGAGACUAUUAGGACUUUGGUAACUUUUAGAGAUGGACUAAAUGGCUUUUGCAAAAGGAAUGUGCAUGGAGGUCCAGGAGAGGAAUAGUAUGGCUUAUAUCUACACAUUCUCCCAAAGCCUCCUGCACUGAUAAGUGGGGAUUUUUGGACCUGACUGGAUCUAGGAUAUGUGAUGCUGGGAUUAAGGGUGUGUGGUGCUAAAUUAGUCUACCGAGUGGUUCAUCAUAGUCCUGUGUUCAUACAAUGGAAAGGCCCACUCUAGGUGUGGGUGGCACCAUCCAAAAGGCUUGCAGGGAAAGGGGCUGGCUGUUGCUGUUGCUCACUGCCUCCUUCUUACCCUGCUGUGGACUGAUUUUCCUCUGCCAUGCCCCUAUGCCAGGCCACCUUGCCAAGGGGUCAGUUGACUAUGAACUGAAAACUCUACAGACUGUGGGCUGAAAUAAACCUUUUAUCCUUCAACUUGUGAUUACUGAGUUUUUUUGUCCUAGCAAUGAGAAAGUAACCAAGACAGUGAUUUAGAGCUAUUAUCAUUAACACUUUAACCACUCACCUUAUUGGACAAAAUUGUGUCAAUCUCCUGCUGCAGUUUUUUCUGGACAUCAGAAUGAGUGGCCAGUUCAUACAUAACAAAAGAAAGAGCACUGGUAGUUGUUUCAUAGCCCGCGA